rnacentral:rRNA from 1 species
AACGAACGCUGGCGGCAUGCCUAGCACAUGCAAGUCGAACGAGACCUUCGGGUCUAGUGGCGCACGGGUGCGUAACGCGUGGGAACCUGCCCUUAGGUUCGGAAUAACUCCCCGAAAGGGGUGCUAAUACCGGAUAAUGUCUUCGGACCAAAGAUUUAUCGCCUUUGGAUGGGCCCGCGUUGGAUUAGCUAGUUGGUAGGGUAAAAGCAUACCAAGGCGACGAUCCAUAGCUGGUGUGAGAGGAUGAUCAGCCACACUGGGACUGAGACACGGCCCAGACUCCUACGGGAGGCAGCAGUGGGGAAUAUUGGACAAUGGGCGAAAGCCCGAUCCAGCAAUGCCGCGUGAGUGAUGAAGGCCUUAGGGUUGUAAAGCUCUUUUACCCGGGAUGAUAAUGACAGUACCGGGAGAAUAAGCUCCGGCUAACUACGUG